rnacentral:lncRNA from 1 species
AUUGACGUAUGAGUUUAGACUUUCCUAAUUCAAUUUGUUAGGAAUAAAAUGAAAUACGGGGGCAAAAUGAGUUUUAUUAAUUUUCUGAUAAUAAAGAUAAGUAGGUGGUACGGUACCCGAAAAGAAACAGAAAAAGAAAAAGGGGGGGGCCAAGAACAUUCAUUCACCUCUCUGCAUCUGCUAAACAAUCUUCAGCUCCAUAGAUUUCCGCCUCGUUAAUUCUUCCUUCUCCUUUGAAAAUUCCUCUUCUUCCUUUCAUUCUACAUCUUUUCAACUCAGAUUGGCUGCUGCUUCAGAUCUUUCUCCCUUCCUCUCCGCUUUUUGGCGCGCCUUUUCGAUGUUCCGACGCAUUUCUCCGCCAUCUUCGAUCCGGCGGUGAACCACAACCGCAUCCCGCUCUAGCUUCCUCCGGCCACUUGCCCUCCGGUUGGGGGAGAAUCUCUUUCAACUUUCUUGUUAUCGGUUAUUUUUUUCUGAAAAUGGAUGCCGUCGGGAUCUGGAGC